UAUGUUUCACACAUGCAAAACAGCCCUAAAUAAGCUAAUAUUAUUAUUAUUAUUUUUAUUGCAGAAAAUGUGUAAUAGAAAGGAACUGCAGAAACAGAACAGUUGCUGCAACACCCUGCAAAGAAGCAAAGGAUGAAGACCCCCAUGAAGGAAGCAGGAGGAACAGCCAGAACCACAACUGAUGUGAGGAUGAAAGACUGAGUGAAGGGAGAAGACUGAGUAGAGGCACAGGGGAAAACAUUGUUGUGGGUUGACAAGAUAGGGUAUUAGAAUUUACAUCACUCUUGGUAUAACAGAAGCAAAAUUAGUUCAAGAAGACUGACUUCAAGCAAAUCAUUCUGAAAACUCAGGAGGCUGCUCAGGUGUUUUGUUAUCUGCUAUCUGAAGUCUUUUACUGACAAGGUUGCAUUCUUUCUACUGACACUACUGUAGAUGGCACAUGGUAUAAAUAAAAUUAGCCUCAAUUAACCCUCUUUAAUAUAUAUCUUGAGACUUUUCACAUUGUUCCAAAAUUGCCUGAAAACACACUACAUAUUUGCUAAGUAAGAUGUAGUGAAACACAGAAUGUGAAUAUUUCAUAAAGUACAUGUAAGUUGAUGUUUUAUUUAGAUCUCGCUUGUCACACAAAAUAAAAAUUCAUUUAUUUUAUUUAGAGAGAUUCUCUUCUAGGCAGGUAUGUCAGCUGAAACCAGUCAUUUAGCAGCAUUUUUAUAGCAAAUACAGUGCUCCUUCUGUCCCUGUUUAACUAUAUAUGCAUAUAUGCAUAUGUGUAUGUGGCUAAAACCAUAACUGUGUUUUUUUCUAUGAUUGUGAGCUUUAAAAUCCUGCCAUCUAUUUCUCUUCUGUGAUAUUACUUCAGGGACAUUUUAUACUUUCAGUAAACAUUGCCUUGAGGUUUUUUCAAAAUAUACUGCUUCUUUAAACCAAGACAGAACAGAUGGAAACUUCAUUGCUUAAACAAAUGGCUACAAUUUUCUUCAGGGCACAAAACAGUAUCAUGAACUUGACCGAGAGCUUAGGAAGCUUCCAGAAGCUUUUAAUCUUUCUUUGCAGGAAA